rnacentral:rRNA from 1 species
GAUGAACGCUGGCGGCGUGCCUAAUACAUGCAAGUCGAGCGAACAGACGAGGAGCUUGCUCCUCUGACGUUAGCGGCGGACGGGUGAGUAACACGUGGAUCCCCUACCUAUCAGACUGGGAUAACUUCGGGAAACCGGAUCUAAUACCGGAUAAUAUAUUGAACCGCAUGGUUCAAUAGUGAAAGACGGUUUUGCUGUCACUUCUAGAUGGAUCCGCGCCGCAUUAGCUAGUUGGUAAGGUAACGGCUUACCAAGGCAACGAUGCGUAGCCGACCGGAGAGGGUGAUAGGCCACAUGGGAGCUGGGACACGGACCAGACUACUACGGGAGGCAGCAGUAGGGAACCUUCCGCAAUAGGCGAAAGCAUGACGGAGCAACGCCGCGUCAGUUAUGAAGGUCUUCCGAGCGGAAAACUGGGUUAUGAGGGAAGAACAAAUGUGUAAGUAAACAUGCACGUAGUGACGGUAACGAAUAAGAAAGCAACGGCUAACUACGUG